UACGUAGGGCGCAAGCGUUGUCCGGAAUUAUUGGGCGUAAAGAGCUCGUAGGUGGUUUGUCGCGUCUGCUGUGAAAUCCCGAGGCUCAACCUCGGGCUUGCAGUGGGUACGGGCAGACUAGAGUGCGGUAGGGGAGACUGGAAUUCCUGGUGUAGCGGUGGAAUGCGCAGAUAUCAGGAGGAACACCGAUGGCGAAGGCAGGUCUCUGGGCCGCAACUGACGCUGAGGAGCGAAAGCAUGGGGAGCGAACAGG
rnacentral:rRNA from 1 species